rnacentral:rRNA from 1 species
GCGAGUGAAGCGGCAAAAGCUCAAAUUUGAAACCGGUUCGCCGGGUUGUAAUUUGAAGAUUGUGUUUUGGAGACGACCGUGUCUAUGUUCCUUGGAACAGGACGUCACAGAGGGUGAGAAUCCCGUGCGAUGCGGCCACCGUCUCUAUAUAAAACACUCUCAAAGAGUCGAGUUGUUUGGGAAUGCAGCUCAAAGUGGGUGGUAAAUUCCAUCUAAAGCUAAAUACUGGCGAGAGACCGAUAGCGAACAAGUACAGUGAUGGAAAGAUGAAAAGCACUUUGAAAAGAGAGUGAAACAGUACGUGAAAUUGUUGAAAGGGAAGGGCAUGCCGUCAGAUUGCCAGUAUCGGUUGGCUCGGGUGGAUAAAAGUGUUGGAACGUGGCCUUCGGGUGUUAUAGCCUUCACCAAUACACCCCGAUCGACCGAGGACUGCUUUUAGGAUACUGGCGUAAUGACGGUACGCCGCCC